GGGGCCGUGGUCCAGCAUGGUCUAAGAUGCGCGGCUCGGGCCCGCGAGGUCCCCGGUUCAAAUCCGGGCGGCCCCA
rnacentral:tRNA from 2 species